GGUACCUAGUUAAGCAAUCUCUAGAGAGCAAUGACAGUGCCUUGGUGCUAAACAAACCUGAAAAAUCACCCCUAUGAAUCAUUUCACCAGCUAAAGAGCCGGCACAAGAAGGUUUAAUAGCUUUUUAAAAAAAAAUAGUCUUCAUAUUCAAAUCUAUCCCUGGAAAGUUUCAGCUGCAAGCAACUGAAGGCAGGGGACAAAUAAGAUCUAGAUAGAUUAUAUUUAAAGAACCACUGGAUUUUGAGCUUCCCAGUUGAAUAAUUCGAGGAAACGCUGUUACGAAAUAACGAUGACAUCUUUUUGAGUUUCCUUAUGGAAGAGAAAAAUCUGCAAGACCUGCUCUUCCGAGACCAAGAUUUCUCCUCUGACCUGCUAAGACAGCUAAAUGUUCUACGGCAAAGCAGGAUCCUAACUGACGUCACUCUGUGCACAGGAGAUAUUGAAAUCCCUUGCCAUAGGAAUGUCCUUGCUUCAAGCAGUCCUUACUUCAGGGCAAUGUUCUGCAGCAACUUUAUAGAAAGCGGUCAAGAAAAAAUCAACCUCCAUGGUAUCGACUCAGGCAUCCUUCACUGCAUCAUCACUUAUGUCUACACAGGCGAGAUUCUCAUAACAGUGGAGAAUGUUUUGUAUCUGAUGGAGACUGCUUCCAUGCUCCAGUAUUCAAGACUAUUUGAGGCCUGUUCAGCUUACCUCCAGGACCAACUGACUCCAGAUAACUGUCUCAGCAUGAUCAGGGUCUCAGAAAACUUGCACUGUGAAAAUCUCAACAAGAAAGCCAAAGCGAUGGCUCUGAAGCAGUUCCCUGAGGUAGCCACUUCUGAAGACCUGAAAGAACUUUGCGCCUUGGAACUGUUGAACUAUCUGGGAGACGACGAGCUCUGCGGUGAGGAGGAACAAGUCUUUGAGGCCCUCAUAGCCUGGGUUCGGCACGAUCUCCAAGCACGGCAAGGCUACAUCCAAGACUUGUUCAAGAAGGUCAGACUUCAGUAUGUCCACCCUAUCUUCUUCUUCCAUUUCAUCGCCAACGACUCUCUCAUUCAGUCGUCCCCCACUUGUCGAAGUAUCCUGGAACUGGCGAGUAAACAGAUGUUUUCUUUGUACAGCACCAGCACUCCUGAUGUCAAACCCACGUGGCACGUUCCACGGCGAUAUUCAUACCGAGAAUUCCUCCUUCUGGUUGGUGGUCGGAAGGACAACGAGCAGACCAUGAGGGAUGUGUUGCUGUAUGAUGAGAAGACGAACCAAUGGUUGACUCUCGCCAAAUACCCAACCGGUCUCUAUAAGGCCUCUGCAGCGAGUUUGCAAAGUACUGUUUAUCUCCUUGGGGGCAUCCCCAUCGGCAACAGGCAAAGACAAGUUAGUGACAAUGUUUACAUCUUCUCACUCAAACUUAAUCAGUGGCGGUUGGUAGAGUCCAUGCUGGUUCCACGCUAUUCCCACAGGAGUGUGGCCUACAAAAACUACAUUUUUGCUAUUGGGGGCAUUGGGGAGAACCAGGAAAUCCUAAAUUCCAUGGAAAGGUAUGACAGCAUCUAUAACAUUUGGGAACAUAUGGCAAAUAUGCCUGUUGCCGUUCUUCAUCCCGCUGUGUCUGCUAAAGACCAAAGAAUCUACCUUUUCGGAGGAGAGGAUAAUAUGCAAAAUCCUGCCCGGCUAGUACAGAUAUAUCAUGUAUCUAGGAACAUGUGGUUCCGAAUGGAGACUCGGAUGGUGAAGAAUGUCUGCGCACCGGCAGCUUUGAUUGGAGACCGGAUUUUCAUUGUUGGCGGAUAUACCAGGCGAGUCAUUGCCUACGAUACGAAGGCCAAUAAAUUUGUGAAGUGUGCAGAUAUGAAAGACAGGCGGAUGCACCACGGUGCUGCAGUGAUCAACGAAAAGCUGUAUUUGACAGGAGGCCGCUGCCUCACCAGUGACAACGCCAUUGAAGACUCCGAUUCGCUCGAGUGCUACGACCCCAAGACAGACACCUGGGCUUCAAAGGGGAAACUGCCUCACAGACUAUUUGACCACGGGUGCCUCGCUGUCCAGUGUGUGCCAUUCUCCAGUCUCUUGUGGGAGAAGGACUGAGGGGAACAAGUGUUAUUUUCUUCACGUGAAAAAUCCCAAUUGUUAUUUGCUUGAUGAAUUCUGAUAUGCAGUUGCCAAGGAAAUCACCAAAAGGGCAUUGAUUACCAAGGCAGUAAAGCAGAGUGAAUUCCUUGACCACUGCCUGGUUCUGAUAUGAAGUCAAUGUAGCUGUCUAUCCACAAUGUAGAUUGGGUGAAUAAAAGAAUAGUAAAUGCUCUGUCGUUUAAUUCGUUAUCAUGUGAGGAACUGUUUGGAUUUUUCAGCCUCUAGCACCAAAAGACUUUCCUCCAUCAGUUCUGAGUUUAUGCCAUUCUUCACAGCCUCAAAAAAAAAAAAAGCCUUUCUGGGAAAUCUGAGGAAGAUCAAGCAAGGCCAAACGUAGGAUAACUUGUAUUGUCGAAGGCUUUCACGGCCGGAUUCAACUGGUUCUGGUGGGUUUU